UACGUAGGGUGCAAGCGUUGUCCGGAAUUAUUGGGCGUAAAGAGCUCGUAGGCGGUCAGUCGCGUCUGCUGUGAAAACUCGGGGCUUAACUCCGGGCCUGCAGUGGGUACGGGCAGACUAGAGUGCGGUAGGGGAGACUGGAAUUCCUGGUGUAGCGGUGAAAUGCGCAGAUAUCAGGAGGAACACCGGUGGCGAAGGCGGGUCUCUGGGCCGUAACUGACGCUGAGGAGCGAAAGCGUGGGGAGCGAACAGG
rnacentral:rRNA from 1 species